rnacentral:rRNA from 1 species
AGAGCGAACGCUGGCGGCAGGCCUAAAACAUGCAAGUCGAACGGACCCUUCGGGGUUAGUGGCGGACGGGUGAGUAACACGUGGAUAACCUUCCUUCAGGUGGGGAAUAACCCAGUGAAAAUUGGGCUAAUACCGCAUAACAUGACGAUGCCACAUGGUGUUGUCUUCAAAGGCGCAAGUCGCCAGAAGAGGGAUCCGCGGCCGAUUAGCUAGUUGGCGAGGUAAUGGCUCACCAAGGCAAUGAUCGGUAGCCGGACUGAGAGGUUGGCCGGCCACACUGGAACUGAGACACGGUCCAGACUCCUACGGGAGGCAGCAGUGGGGAAUUUUCGUCAAUGGGGGCAACCCUGAACGAGCAACGCCGCGUGCAGGAAGAAGGUUUUCGGAUCGUAAACUGCUUUUCUCGGGGAAGAGAACGGACGGUACCCGAGGAAUCAGCCCCGGCUAACUACGUGCCAGCAGCCGC